UCCGAGUUGACCCCGGCAGUCUCCUACGAGUCCCUGGCAUUACCCGCUGGCAACAUAGGACAAGGGUUGCGCUCGUUGCGGGACUUAACCCAACAUCUCACGACACGAGCUGACGACAGCCAUGCACCACCUGUGCAGGCUCCCGAAGGAGCGCCGGCUUUCACCGGUUUCACCCUGCAUGUCAAGCCCUGGUAAGGUUCUUCGCGUUGCAUCGAAUUAAGCCACAUGCUCCACCGCUCGUGCGGGCCCCCGCCAAUUCCUUUGAGUUUUAGUCUUGCGACCGUAGUUCCCAGGCGGAUCACUUAAUGCGUUAGCUGCGGCACCGAGGCAAAGCCCCAACACCUAGUGAUCAUCGUUUAUGGCUAAGACUAC
rnacentral:misc_RNA from 1 species